rnacentral:rRNA from 1 species
GACGAACGCUGGCGGCGUGCUUAACACAUGCAAGUCGAACGGAAAGGCCUGCUUUCCCUUGUGGAUUGCGGGUACUCGAGUGGCGAACGGGUGAGUAACACGUGAGUGAUCUGCCCCCAACUUGGGUAUAAGCCUGGGAAACUGGGUCUAAUUCCCGAUAGGACUGCAGGGUGGUGCCUGUGGUGGAAAACGAUUUUCUAGUGGUUGGGGAUGGGCUCGCGGCCUAUCAGCUUGUUGGUGGGGUAAUGGCCUACCAAGGCGGCGACGGGUAGCCGGCCUGAGAGGGUGGACGGCCACAUUGGGACUGAGAUACGGCCCAGACUCCUACGGGAGGCAGCAGUGGGGAAUAUUGCACAAUGGGCGGAAGCCUGAUGCAGCGACGCCGCGUGGGGGAUGACGGCCUUCGGGUUGUAAACUCCUUUCGACCGCGAGGAAGCCACCUGGUUGGAAGGGUGGUGACGGUAGUGGUAGAAGAAGCACCGGCUAACUACGUG